UGUGUGUCGCCGUCAGCUCCCUGUUGGAUUAUAUCAUCUCUAGGUGUCCAGCAGGUUGUAUUAUCUAUUUAAUAUUUCAAUUGCUUAAUAAAUAUAUAUUUAUAUCGAUGUUAACCUAAAGUGUUAUAUAUAUAUAUAUUGUAGUGCGACCCUUGGUAGUUCCUCUAAGGGAAUAUAAAUUAAAUAGGAAACUUCAGUACCUAAGGUAGAUAUAGCCUAGCCAGCUAUCCCCCGUUGGUCCCUUAGAAUACUGUCGACGGGCAUUUAGGCUCAACCCCUAAAUAGCGACGUAACACACGAAAGCGAAAUUUAAAAAAAAAGAAAAGAAUUUGAGUCAAAUAUUGAUAUUCAAAAAACAAUUGAUAUAUGCCGACAAUUAUGUCAUGAGGAUGAGGAUGAGCUGAUGGAUGGACGAAUCAGAAAUUCGAGACUUUGGUACAAGAUUUCCAGAGCCAAAUCCCUUUGAAGAAUUGUACAGAAAUCCGAAUACUUUAGUAAAUGAAGAUUUACGUAUAGCUACGCUUGAUAACUUAGGAGCAAUAACCAGAAGACGAGAAAAUAUCAUGAGCAAUGAUCGUUUUUGCGAGCUCAUGAGAAGCGCUAAUGAAAAACAAAAAGACUUACUUUUACACGUCAUUCAUCACAAUUUAUCCGAAGAGAAGUCACCUCUACAAUUAUUUUUUACUGGGCCAGCUGGAUGCGGAAAAACAUUUGUGAUAACAUUGAUAAUGGAAAUAUAUAAUAGAUUUUCUGAUAACGAUGGGUUCUGCAAUUCAUACAUUACGUGUGCUUCGACUGGUAAAACUUCUGUAGCCAUUAAUGGAACCACUGUUCAUACUGCAUUGAAAAUAUCGUUAUCAAAACUAAUACCAUUGUCAAUAGAAACAGCACAAUAAUAUCGAUGCUUAUUUAAAUAUGUCAAAGUUUUAAUGAUUGACGAAAUCAGUAUGAUAGGUGGCGAGCUCUUAAACUAGAUAGACGCAAGAUUAAAACAAAUAACUGGGAAUUUUGAUAAAAAUUUUGGUGGCCUAGACAUUAUUUUGAUUGGAGAUUUGCGACAAUUACUUCCAGUUCGUGCAACUCCAAUCUAUAAGCAGUCAAAACAACGGAUGGUUGGACCCUUACUUUGGCGAGGAUUAAAAUUCUACGAACUAUCUCAAAUAAUGCGUCAAGAUAACGAAAUGUUUUCUUCUAUUCUCACAAAAAUUGGUAGUGGUAUUAUUUUAAAUGAUGAUGAAUUGGGCGUAAUCGAGUCUAGAUUUUUUACAAAAGAAGAAGUUUCACGGCGGUGUCCAAGUGGUGUACGAUUAUUCCAUGUUAAUGCCUCAGUUAACGCAUAUAAUAUAUUAGCUUUACAAACUGAAAAUAAAAUAACUUCGAUUGCAAUAGAUAUUAUUUCAGGUUGUUCUAAUCAUGAGCAGGAAGCAAGUAUGAGACAAAAAUUACACAAAAUGUCUGUGAUAGAUACAGGAUGUUUGCCAUACGAAAUCAAUAUGCCCCGAGUAGCAUUAUUUUGGUUCACGGUCGGUUCAAGCGACCCACGAGUGCUGGGAGAGUUCAAUGUUCAAAAAUGAACCGUGUAAUUUUUUAAAAGUUCUAGGAAAGUUCAGCGUUCAAUAAAUAACCGAACAAUUUUUAAUAAGUGCUGGGACCGUUCAAUGUUCAAAAUAAUUGUACGGAUUCAUCAAAGUUCUUUCAUUAUAAUGAAAGAAUCGUUGUAACGGUUAUAGCCAUUCAAAUAGUUUUAUUCACUUAUAUUGUUAUUAGACAUAUUAUACCUUGAUUAGUACAUUAAUAAAAAAACUUUAAAAUAAUAGUUAUAAAUUAUUUUCAUUGAGACUAUAGCGCAAAUUUAACAUACGAACUUUUGGCGGAAUAACCAGACGUGUCAGUAACCGUUGACCAACAGCUUUAGUUCGCGCGAUUUUUAUUUGUUAUUUAAUUUUUACUGUGACAUUUUUUCAAAUUAUCAACGAUCGUUUUACUCUCUUUACAAAUUAUGUUUUGAGACAUUCGCCAUUUUCACAGCGACUAGAUAACUUGUCAAGACUGCUCUUUAUCCCUGUUCACUCUCACAUAUAUAUUUAACUGAAAAGUUCAAUAAAAUAAAAAUGUUUUGUUGCUUAAAGUGGGUACCAUUAAAAGUUUCAGUGCAUAUACGAGAACAGCAUUUGAUUUUUGUAUGACAAGAGAAAUGGCCUCAAAUUUUAGUUUUUGUGACAACACCAAAUAGAUGCUAUGUCUGGCUAAAUCAUAAUACCUGAACACGAAAGAACAUUUAACAAAAUAAUAGCUAAUAUUUUAAAGCAUUCUGGUAAUAAAGCAUCACAGCAAUAAAAUCCUUUUUUUUUUUUAUUAUUCAAUCAACAUUUCAUUUUUUUGUAAAUGAUUUUUAAAAUUUAUUCACUUAGAUUAUUUCACAGUUUUUUUAUUAAUAGUGAAAACAAAAUA